rnacentral:lncRNA from 1 species
AAGUGUGAAUAAACUAUUUCCAGGGAACUCAUUGCUAAUUGCAUGGAGAGUUCAAGAAUUUCACCAUGACUUGCUACAGAAGGAAAAGUGCUGGGAUAUGUAGCUAAAUGUCCCAAAGCUCUAACUGCAACCCUCUGCUCCACCCAGGUUAAUCUACCUCUUAACAGCUCAACCAGAGGAGGAAUAACCCCAGCAUGAACAGAACUCUCUGCAAAUUCUUCCAUAUUCAUUGUGUAGGAACCAAUGAUAUGAGCUGCAUAAUAAGGGAUGUAGAUAUUUUGGUCAUGCGAAAGCCAGCGACGAUUUUUCAGUCCUUUCCAUAUUAGGGCAGACAUGCAUUCAAAUAUUCCUAGCUCUAUGAAUUCAGGGUCAUUUGGAUGCGCCAUUGCCGUGUUCCAAAGGCCACUGAUAGGGAGAACCUGACCAUCAUCAUCCUGACAUGGAAGUUCUCUAAAGAAUUUGAGUACACUCGCUCUACGCUUGCUCGGAUUCCCCUCCUUCAUAACACAAAAGAAGCAUCCCGGGUAUGGGCAAUCUGACGAAACUUUAUCCAUGCUUUGUAAAUGAGAAUUAUAAUCUCAUAGAUCAACAAGUCAAUUUCUCCUCAGAUAGCUAGCUAAAGCAAGGAAACCACUUCAAACCUGCAAUCAGUAUUUGGCAGAACAUCAGAUAGAUACCAACCCAAAAUCUAACUUUUAUCCAUGUCAUAAAAUACCAAAAAAAUUGACAAUGACUCUUCCUUAGUUCCCUAAAUAACAUUAGAUUAUCAGUGGGAAAAAAAAGAAGCACAAGACAUUCUUUUUACAAUGAUUUAAAUAUUAUAAAACUGCCCAACUUGCUGGGAAAUCUUCAAAACGAGUCCAAAUUACAUCAAGAGAUAGCUACAUAACAUAUAAAUUACAAGUAAAUUUGUAUGUUUAAUUUUCCAGCUUAAAUAGUUAGGGUAAAAAAACAGUACUAGUUGCUGAAACAGAAAACCGCACGAAUAUUCUCACAAUAAAAAUUAAAAAGUCAAACAAAGAGGGAAUCACAUAGGAAGAUACAAGAAAAAUGCUAGGCUACUAGCUACAAAACCAGUUAGUACGGACAAUUUCCACGUCAAUUCACACAAUCAGAGAUAUCAAUUUUUUUUGCCUUCCAGUGUCUUGCAAAAUCGAUUCUACAGUAAGCAACAUACAACCAGCUUCUCCGGUGGCCAAAAUCGAUUAUAAGAAAAAAAGAAAGAAAGAGGGAGUGUGUUAGAUUACCCCCAUUGCUCAAAGGUGUUGAAUCGCCGAAAAAGCAGAACACACGAGAGUGACGAGUGAGAGUUGAAGUGUGUUGGUGAAGUUCACGAGUGUUGUUCUUCAGCAGCGGUGUCGAUCGGUGAUGAAUGUAGAUGGCAGAUCCAAGUUCGCUAUCACUGAUAACAACCUUAGACCAUUCCUUAUCUGAUUCGAACUGUGCCUGAGAUGUUUGGUCGAUUUUUUUGUCUCUGUGGCUCACGCUUUUCUCACAACAUGGAUCGUUGUUCCGUUUGAUCUAGGUUAAAAUCUCAGACAGGGAGAGAGAAAGGGAGAGAAGGAGACAAAAGGUAGUGGGGGAAGACAACGGCAUAAUGGAGAGUGGAAACAGUGUUUACUAGACUGACUUUACUGCUUCAGUAAACUGUCUGAAACUCAAUAAUUCAUUUUCGGUAAUAAUUCAUUAUUCAUUUGAUUUUGAUUUUGAUUUUUAUGUCUGCGAGGAAAUCUAAUUUUCUUAAAAUAGACCAUUCAAAAUAAAUUAGGAUGGGGGAGGGAAUAAAUCAAUAAAUAGUAAUCUCACCGUUUAAUUGUUAUGGGUUGGAGUGGCAAAAUGGGCUUCAACUGUUGGGCCAGCAUGUUUGUCCAAUUUUUCUUUGUGGGUAGAAUUAAAACUUUUGAAUUGAAAUUUAAAAAAUGUGCUAGCACAAAUCAAUCCGCAUUUUAACGAGCCAAUGACGAGUUGAGUUUGACUCGCCCCGCCAACCCACAUUGUCACCCUACUUACGAGAACCAAAGGGGUAGGUCGGGUUAGCUCAUCAACCCAUAUUUUUCCACCUUUAUUUGCAAUUUAUAUUUUAUCUAAAUUUUUCAUGUUUACAUGACAUUAUCGUUUGUAACUGUUGGUUUAUUAUUGACUAUAAACUUUUGGUGAUGAUUGUAUAACACAUCUAGUGAUGUUGAGAAGAUUAUGUGAGUGCGUAGCAAAGAAAAUGACAUUUACUAAUAAUUUGGUGAAGAUUAUCGACAUUUACACUUGAUAGUUGUUAUUGAGGUUACAUUUAAAGUUUUUAGUAGUAACUCAAUGAUAAAUAUGUUUGAUAUUAUUAUUAGUGAGACUUUCUUGUUGAACUCAUAGGUAGCGUUUGGUAGACAGGUGAGAAGGGAACGGAACAGGACACAACCCUCUGCUCCACCCAGGUUAAUCUACCUCUUAACAGCUCAACCAGAGGAGGAAUAACCCCAGCAUGAACAGAACUCUCUGCAAAUUCUUCCAUAUUCAUUGUGUAGGAACCAAUGAUAUGAGCUGCAUAAUAAGGGAUGUAGAUAUUUUGGUCAUGCGAAAGCCAGCGACGAUUUUUCAGUCCUUUCCAUAUUAGGGCAGACAUGCAUUCAAAUAUUCCUAGCUCUAUGAAUUCAGGGUCAUUUGGAUGCGCCAUUGCCGUGUUCCAAAGGCCACUGAUAGGGAGAACCUGACCAUCAUCAUCCUGACAUGGAAGUUCUCUAAAGAAUUUGAGUACACUCGCUCUACGCUUGCUCGGAUUCCCCUCCUUCAUAACACAAAAGAAGCAUCCCGGGUAUGGGCAAUCUGACGAAACUUUAUCCAUGCUUUGUAAAUGAGAAUUAUAAUCUCAUAGAUCAACAAGUCAAUUUCUCCUCAGAUAGCUAGCUAAAGCAAGGAAACCACUUCAAACCUGCAAUCAGUAUUUGGCAGAACAUCAGAUAGAUACCAACCCAAAAUCUAACUUUUAUCCAUGUCAUAAAAUACCAAAAAAAUUGACAAUG